ACGAACGCUGGCGGCGUGCCUAAUACAUGCAAGUCGAACGCUUCUUUUUCCAUCGGAGCUUGCUCCACCGGAAAAAGAGGAGUGGCGAACGGGUGAGUAACACGUGGGUAACCUGCCCAUCAGAAGGGGAUAACACUUGGAAACAGGUGCUAAUACCGUAUAACAAUCGAAACCGCAUGGUUUUGAUUUGAAAGGCGCUUUCGGGUGUCGCUGAUGGAUGGACCCGCGGUGCAUUAGCUAGUUGGUGAGGUAACGGCUCACCAAGGCGACGAUGCAUAGCCGACCUGAGAGGGUGAUCGGCCACAUUGGGACUGAGACACGGCCCAAACUCCUACGGGAGGCAGCAGUAGGGAAUCUUCGGCAAUGGACGAAAGUCUGACCGAGCAACGCCGCGUGAGUGAAGAAGGUUUUCGGAUCGUAAAACUCUGUUGUUAGAGAAGAACAAGGAUGAGAGUAACUGUUCAUCCCUUGACGGUAUCUAACCAGAAAGCCACGGCUAACUACGUGCCAGCAGCCGCGGUAAUACGUAGGUGGCAAGCGUUGUCCGGAUUUAUUGGGCGUAAAGCGAGCGCAGGCGGUUUCUUAAGUCUGAUGUGAAAGCCCCCGGCUCAACCGGGGAGGGUCAUUGGAAACUGGGAGACUUGAGUGCAGAAGAGGAGAGUGGAAUUCCAUGUGUAGCGGUGAAAUGCGUAGAUAUAUGGAGGAACACCAGUGGCGAAGGCGGCUCUCUGGUCUGUAACUGACGCUGAGGCUCGAAAGCGUGGGGAGCAAACAGGAUUAGAUACCCUGGUAGUCCACGCCGUAAACGAUGAGUGCUAAGUGUUGGAGGGUUUCCGCCCUUCAGUGCUGCAGCUAACGCAUUAAGCACUCCGCCUGGGGAGUACGACCGCAAGGUUGAAACUCAAAGGAAUUGACGGGGGCCCGCACAAGCGGUGGAGCAUGUGGUUUAAUUCGAAGCAACGCGAAGAACCUUACCAGGUCUUGACAUCCCGAUGACCGGCCCGUAACGGGGCCUUCUCUUCGGAGCAUUGGAGACAGGUGGUGCAUGGUUGUCGUCAGCUCGUGUCGUGAGAUGUUGGGUUAAGUCCCGCAACGAGCGCAACCCUUAUUGUUAGUUGCCAUCAUUUAGUUGGGCACUCUAGCAAGACUGCCGGUGACAAACCGGAGGAAGGUGGGGAUGACGUCAAAUCAUCAUGCCCCUUAUGACCUGGGCUACACACGUGCUACAAUGGUUGGUACAACGAGUUGCGAGUCGGUGACGGCGAGCUAAUCUCUUAAAGCCAAUCUCAGUUCGGAUUGUAGGCUGCAACUCGCCUACAUGAAGCCGGAAUCGCUAGUAAUCGCGGAUCAGCACGCCGCGGUGAAUACGUUCCCGGGCCUUGUACACACCGCCCGUCACACCACGAGAGUUUGUAACACCCGAAGUCGGUGAGGUAACCUUUUGGAGCCAGCCGCCUAAGGUGGGAUAGAUGAUUGGGGUG
rnacentral:rRNA from 1 species